rnacentral:rRNA from 1 species
GCAAACGGCGGGGAGGGUGCGGCGGGAAUGUGGAGGGGGUGAUCGUUGUCCGGAUGUAUUGGGCGGAAAGAGGGUGUAGGGGGCGAGGUAGGGCCGUGGUGAAAACUCGAGGCUCAACCGCGGGACGUCGGCGGAAACCCUCUGGCUAGAGUCCGGAAGAGGAGAGUGGAAUUCCUGGUGUAGCGGUGAAAUGCGCAGAUAUCAGGAAGAACACCCGUGGCGAAGGCGGCUCUCUGGGACGGUACUGACGCUGAGACGCGAAAGCGUGGGGAGCAAACAGGAUUAGAUACCCUGGUAGUC